rnacentral:rRNA from 1 species
CGCCUUCGGUGUCCGAGUUGUAAUUUGAAGAAGGUAACUUUGGUUUUGGCUCUUGUCUAUGUUCCUUGGAACAGGACGUCACAGAGGGUGAGAAUCCCGUGCGAUGAGAUGCCCAAUUCCAUGUAAAGUGCUUUCGAAGAGUCGAGUUGUUUGGGAAUGCAGCUCUAAGUGGGUGGUAAAUUCCAUCUAAAGCUAAAUAUUGGCGAGAGACCGAUAGCGAACAAGUACAGUGAUGGAAAGAUGAAAAGAACUUUGAAAAGAGAGUGAAAAAGUACGUGAAAUUGUUGAAAGGGAAGGGCUUGAGAUCAGACUUGGUAUUUUGUAUGUCUUGCUUUCGGGUAGGGCCUCUGCAGUUUAUCGGGCCAGCAUCAGUUUGGAUGGUAGGAUAAUGACAUUGGAACGUAGCACUGCUUCGGUGGUGUGUUAUAGACUUUGUUGAUACUGCCUGUCUAGACUGAGGACUGCGUCUUUGACUAGGAUGCUG